rnacentral:snoRNA from 1 species
AUUGAAUGAUGACUGAUUGUAUCGCCCCUAGCUGAAACUUUGAUGAUUGAUCUUCACUGACAUU